AGCUUUGCACGGUGGCAGCGUUGUGGCCAGUGAGGCUUAUCCGAGGCACCAUUGCUGCUAGCUGAAGCCUUUUCCCAGUGCAGUCAGGGGCUGAACCUAAAUUUCUCUUGUUUCAAUGACCAUAUUUCAGCAGUCUCACUG
rnacentral:snRNA from 1 species